UACGGGGGGGGGCAAGCGUUGUUCGGAAUUACUGGGCGUAAAGGGCGCGUAGGCGGAUAGUCAAGCUGGAUGUGAAAGACCUGGGCUUAACCUGGGGGGUGUCAUUCAUAACUGGCUAUCUAGAGUAUGGGGAGAGGAGAGUGGAAUUCACAGUGUAGCGGUGAAAUGCGUAGAUAUUGUGAGGAACAUCGAUGGCGAAGGCAGCUCUCUGGCCUGCUACUGACGCUGAGGCGCGAAAGCAUGGGUAGCGAACAGG
rnacentral:rRNA from 1 species